rnacentral:rRNA from 1 species
AGUCAACAUGCCCAGAGGACGUGGAUAACCUCGGGAAACUGAGUCUAAACCGCGAUAAGUGAGGAUUUCUGGAAUGGUUCCUGACUAAAAUCUAUAUGGCCUCUGGAUUGGACUGCGGCCGAUCAGGCUGUUGGUGAGGUAAUGGCCCACCAAACCUGUAACCGGUACGGGCUCUGAGAGGAGGAGCCCGGAGAUGGGCACUGAGACAAGGGCCCAGGCCCUAUGGGGCGCAGCAGGCGCGAAACCUCUGCAAUAGGCGAAAGCCUGACAGGGUUACUCUGAGUGACUUUCGCUAAGAAAGUCUUUUGGCACCUCUAAAAAGGGUGCAGAAUAAGGGGUGGGCAAGUCUGGUGUCAGCCGCCGCGGUAAUACCAGCACCCCGAGUGGUCGGGACGAUUAUUGGGCCUAAAGCAUCCGUAGCCGGUUCUGCAAGUCCCCCGUUAAAUCCAGCUGCUCAACAGAUGGGCCGCGGAGGAUACUACAGAGCUAGGAGGCAGGAGAGGCAAGCGGUACUCAGUGGGUAGGGGUAAAAUCCGUUGAUCCAUUGAAGACCACCAGUGGCGAAGGCGGCUUGCCAGAAUGCGCUCGACGGUGAGGGAUGAAAGCUGGGGGAGCAAACCGGAUUAGAUACCCGGGUAGUCCCAGCCGUAAACGAUGCAGACUCGGUGAUGGGUUGGC